UACGAAGGGGGCAAGCGUUGUUCGGAAUUACUGGGCGUAAAGGGCGCGUAGGCGGCUUACCAAGUCAGGCGUGAAAUUCCCGGGCUCAACCUGGGGGCUGCGCUUGAUACUGGUGAGCUUGAAUGCGGGAGAGGAUAGGUGGAAUUCCCAGUGUAGAGGUGAAAUUCGUAGAUAUUGGGAAGAACACCGGUGGCGAAGGCGGCUAUCUGGCCCGUAAUUGACGCUGAGGCGCGAAAAGCGUGGG
rnacentral:rRNA from 1 species